UCCUAAACCCGCCAAGGAGGACGCUUACCACGGUGUGGCCGAUGACUGGGGUGAAGUCGUAACAAGGUAGCCGUAGGGGAACCUGCGGCUGGAUCACCUCCUUAACGAAAGAUUGGUGACUGGUAAGAAUCCACAACAAGUUGUUCUUCGAAGAUGUAUCUGAGGGUCUGUAGCUCAGUUGGUUAGAGCACACGCUUGAUAAGCGUGGGGUCACAAGUUCAAGUCUUGUCAGACCCACCACUACUGACGAAGUGAUGAAUAAUCACAAGCUGCUAGAUAAAAAAAAUGGCCUUUCUUUAGAAUUAAGCUGGGGAAUUUACUUAAUUGGGAAAACGGCCGGCUUGGCCCCCAGAAGGCCAGGAUUCCAAUCCCCCAAUCCCCCCCCAAUUCCAAGGUAAACCAAGCAACCCUUUGGCCCAAAAAUUAAACCAACCACUAUGCUGGGGGCAAGGCCCCCUAAAAAGGAACUUAGAACUUAAGAAUACCGAACUUAAUAAGCCAAUAACUUCCUAACUUCCGGGAAUUAUUCCAGUUUACUACCCACCCACCAAGUGGUAAUUAAUCCUUAACAGAAUAAAAAAUUGAAUCCGAAAUUAAUUGGUCCAACUCCAUUAAAUUAGAAGAAUACCAGUUAUUGUUAAAUUUAUAUUUUAUCCGGAAACUAACAAAAACACUGGAUCCAGCGGUUUGGUAUAAGAAUUUAGAAUGAAGCUGGAUGGUGAUUAAAUUCACAGACCACCAACCAAUAACCAUUAAGUUUGCCACCAUUACCCUUCCCUGGAUGUGGUAACGACUGGUUGGGG
rnacentral:misc_RNA from 1 species